UGUCUUCCAAAUAAAGACUAGUAUGAACGGCCAAAUGAGGACCUAACUGUCUCCCAUAGUUAAUCAAUGAACCUGAUCUUUCAGUACAAAAGCUGAAAUACACCCAUAAGACGAGAAGACCCUGUGGAGCUUUAGCCACACUAUUAAAUGUUUUAAACCACCACCAACAGGCAUCAAACUCCAUUAUAAUAAGAAACUUAAGUUGGGGCAACUUUGAAAACAAAAAAAACUUUCAAACCCUUGUAGGCCUAUAAACCUAAGCCAAGAACAACAAGUCUAAGCACAACAAAUGACCCAGUAUAACUGAUCAACGAACCAAGUUACCCCAGGGAUAACAGCGCAAUCCUCUUUAAGAGUCCUUAUCGACAAGAGGGUUUACGACCUCGAUGUUGGAUCAGGACACCCAAGUAGUGCAGCCGCUACUAAUGGUUCGUUUGUUCAACGAUUAAAGU
rnacentral:rRNA from 1 species